GGAUCCUCAGUAACUGCGAGUGAAGCGGGAUGAGCUCAAUGUGUGAAUCUGGCGGGGGGUAGCUCCUCGUCCGAGUUGUGCACUAUCGACGCUGGAUCUGCACCUGCACACCCCUCGGCGGAAGUCCGAUGAAACACGGCACCGUGGAAGGUCAAAGUCCUGUCCCUGCCUUGGGGUUGCGUGCCUACGACCGGCGCUCGUCGAGUCGCGUAGUUUUGUAUUGCUGCGCNAAUCGGGAGGUANAGCCCUUCUAAAGCUAAAUAUUGCGGCGUGACCGAUAGCACACAAGUACCGCGAGGGAAAGGUGAAAAGCAACUAUGAAGAAUAGGUUGAAACAGCAUUGAAAGCGUUACCGGGAUAAGGGCUGGCGGAUGCUGGGAUCGGUGCGGCGUGCUUCAGUGCUGUCGCUCCGAACGGCUCGCGCGGGUUCGGUUGCAGGGAAAAGCGCCUCGGGAAUUCGGCCACUCCGGUGGUGUNGCAGCCCGGGUGCGAGAGGACCUGCGUCGGACCCUUAUUUUGCGGGUCUUGCGGACGUCAGCCUCCCGUCUUGAAACACGGACCAAGGAGUGUACCUUGCAUGCGAGUCNAAGGGCCUGUAAACCCGGAGGCGCAGCGAAAGCGAUGCUCAUGAAGUCCUUACGGACGCCAGUGGCACCGGCACUUGUGUCAGGUGGAGCAUGUAGGGUGCGACCCGAAAGAUGGUGAACUAUGCCUGGGCAAGGUGAAGCCAGUGGAAACUCUGGUGGAGGCCUGUAGCGAUUCUGACGUGCAAAUCGAUCGUGUGACCUGGGUAUAGGGGCG
rnacentral:rRNA from 1 species